GGAUUCACAGAUGAUCUUUGCACUACAGUAUGUUUGGUUUAUAAUUGAAAUAGAAAUUAAAAAAAAAAAAAAAAUUGGAUGUAUUUGAAUAGAAUAUAAAACAAUGAAUCAUUCAAAAAUAUUUGGUUCAUUACUGAAAUGAAAAUCAAAAUGGAUAACAAGUAGAAUUUUAAGAAACGAAUUUUAAUUAGAGAUAUUGUAGUGUUCCGGAGGUUUGGAUGGGAUUGGCUAGAAUAUUAGUGACUGGUCGACACAUCUGGAGAGUGUCGGGUUGAAUCAGAAUUGAUUCUGCACGAAAUGAAUGCAGAAAUGAACUCGGCGUACUCAAAUAAGCAAAACUAAAGUUUUGCCAGAUUCAGGCUCCCAGAAUAGGUUUUGGGUCGCCGAGAACUUGAGUGCAGAACUGAGCAGAACUGGAAGCCAAUUCGGAUCCGGAUUUCGGAUGCCCAGAAUUGGGUCCGAAAAUUCACUUUGGGAGUAUCGUUUGCGCUGACACGUAGCUAGUGGUAGGUGUGAUCUGCCGGACCAGUUUUAGGGCACAACACACCGUGGGCGGAGGAACUGAAGAGGAGUAUUUGUGCUGUCUGGAGGUUUCGGACGCCCAAAACAUGGUUCCGAGCGCCCGA
rnacentral:lncRNA from 1 species